rnacentral:rRNA from 1 species
CCGUACGGGGAGGCAGCAGGUGGGGAAUUUUGGACAAUGGGCGAAAGCCUGAUCCAGCAAUGCCGCGUGCAGGAUGAAGGCCUUCGGGUUGUAAACUGCUUUUGUACGGAACGAAACGGUGAGCUCUAAUAAAGUUUGCUAAUGACGGUACCGUAAGAAUAAGCACCGGCUAACUACGUGCCAGCAGCCGCGGUAAUACGUAGGGUGCGAGCGUUAAUCGGAAUUACUGGGCGUAAAGCGUGCGCAGGCGGUUAUAUAAGACAGAUGUGAAAUCCCCGGGCUCAACCUGGGACCUGCAUUUGUGACUGUAUAGCUAGAGUACGGUAGAGGGGGAUGGAAUUCCGCGUGUAGCAGUGAAAUGCGUAGAUAUGCGGAGGAACACCGAUGGCGAAGGCAAUCCCCUGGACCUGUACUGACGCUCAUGCACGAAAGCGUGGGGAGCAAACAGGAUUAGAUACCCUGGUAGUCCACGCCCUAAACGAUGUCAACUGGUUNUUGGGUCUUCACUGACUCAGUAACGAAGACUACGCGUGAGUAGACCGCCGNGGGAGGUACGGCCGCGAGGUAGAACGACAAGUAGAAGUUAGACGGCGUGAGACGUGACCGACGGACGACGACGAGGGGAGGAGGG